rnacentral:rRNA from 2 species
AUCUGCUAGACGACGCUGGCGGCGUGCCUAAUACAUGCAAGUCGAACGAACUCUGGUAUUGAUUGGUGCUUGCAUCAUGAUUUACAUUUGAGUGAGUGGCGAACUGGUGAGUAACACGUGGGAAACCUGCCCAGAAGCGGGGGAUAACACCUGGAAACAGAUGCUAAUACCGCAUAACAACUUGGACCGCAUGGUCCGAGUUUGAAAGAUGGCUUCGGCUAUCACUUUUGGAUGGUCCCGCGGCGUAUUAGCUAGAUGGUGGGGUAACGGCUCACCAUGGCAAUGAUACGUAGCCGACCUGAGAGGGUAAUCGGCCACAUUGGGACUGAGACACGGCCCAAACUCCUACGGGAGGCAGCAGUAGGGAAUCUUCCACAAUGGACGAAAGUCUGAUGGAGCAACGCCGCGUGAGUGAAGAAGGGUUUCGGCUCGUAAAACUCUGUUGUUAAAGAAGAACAUAUCUGAGAGUAACUGUUCAGGUAUUGACGGUAUUUAACCCAGAAAGCCACGGCUAACUACGUGCCAGCAGCCGCGGGUAAUACGUAGGUGGCAAGCGUUGUCCGGGAUUUAUUGGGCGUAAAGCGAGCGCAGGCGGUUUUUUAAGUCUGAUGUGAAAGCCUUUCGGCUCAACCGAAGAAGUGCAUCGGAAACUGGGAAACUUGAGUGCAGAAGAGGACAGUGGAACUCCAUGUGUAGCGGUGAAAUGCGUAGAUAUAUGGAAGAACACCAGUGGCGAAGGCGGCUGUCUGGUCUGUAACUGACGCUGAGGCUCGAAAGUAUGGGUAGCAAACAGGAUUAGAUACCCUGGUAGUCCAUACCGUAAACGAUGAAUGCUAAGUGUUGGAGGGUUUCCGCCCUUCAGUGCUGCAGCUAACGCAUUAAGCAUUCCGCCUGGGGAGUACGGCCGCAAGGCUGAAACUCAAAGGAAUUGACGGGGGCCCGCACAAGCGGUGGAGCAUGUGGUUUAAUUCGAAUGCUACGCGAAGAACCUUACCAAGUCUUGACAUACUAUGCAAAUCUAAGAGAUUAGACGUUUCCUUCGGGGACAUGGAAUACAGGUGGUGCAUGGUUGUCGUCAGCUCGUGUCGUGAGAUGUUGGGUUAAGUCCCGCAACGAGCGCAACCCUUAUUAUCAGUUGCCAGCAUUAAGUUGGGCACUCUGGUGAGACUGCCGGUGACAAACCGGAGGAAGGUGGGGAUGACGUCAAAUCAUCAUGCCCCUUAUGACCUGGGCUACACACGUGCUACAAUGGAUGGUACAACGAGUUGCGAACUCGCGAGAGUAAGCUAAUCUCUUAAAGCCAUUCUCAGUUCGGAUUGUAGGCUGCAACUCGCCUACAUGAAGUCGGAAUCGCUAGUAAUCGCGGAUCAGCAUGCCGCGGUGAAUACGUUCCCGGGCCUUGUACACACCGCCCGUCACACCAUGAGAGUUUGUAACACCCAAAGUCGGUGGGGUAACCUUUUAGGAACCAGCCGCCUAAGGUGGGACAGAUGAUUAGGGAAGUC